rnacentral:rRNA from 1 species
AUUAAACGCUGGCGGCAUGCCUUACACAUGCAAGUCGAACGGCAGCACGGGGGCAACCCUGGUGGCGAGUGGCGGACGGGUGAGUAAAGCAUCGGAACGUAUCCUGGAGUGGGGGAUAACGUAGCGAAAGUUACGCUAAUACCGCAUAUUCUGUGAGCAGGAAAGCAGGGGAUCGCAAGACCUCGCGCGAAUGGAGCGGCCGAUGGCAGAUUAGGUAGUUGGUGGGGUAAAGGCUCACCAAGCCUGCGAUCUGUAGCUGGUCUGAGAGGACGACCAGCCACACUGGAACUGGGACACGGUCCAGACUCCUACGGGAGGCAGCAGUGGGGAAUUUUGGACAAUGGGCGCAAGCCUGAUCCAGCCAUUCCGCGUGCAGGAUGAAGGCCCUCGGGUUGUAAACUGCUUUUGUACGGAACGAAAAGGCUUUCUCUAAUACAGGGGGCUCAUGACGGUACCGUAAGAAUAAGCACCGGCUAACUACGUGCCAGCAGCCGCGGUAAU